CAGUAGCCGCGGUAAUACAGAGGGUGCGAGCGUUAAUUGGAUUUACUGGGCGUAAAGCGUGCGUAGGCGGCUUUUUAAGUCGGAUGUGAAAUCCCUGAGCUUAACUUAGGAAUUGCAUUCGAUACUGGGAAGCUAGAGUAUGGGAGAGGAUGGUAGAAUUCCAGGUGUAGCGGUGAAAUGCGUAGAGAUCUGGAGGAAUACCGAUGGCGAAGGCAGCCAUCUGGCCUAAUACUGACGCUGAGGUACGAAAGCAUGGGGAGCAAACAGGAUUAGAUACCCGUGUAGUCCCUGUCUCUUAUAC
rnacentral:rRNA from 1 species